GAUGAACGCUAGCGGCAGGCUUAAUACAUGCAAGGCGAAGGGGCGGUAACGUCACUGUCGUACGGGCGCGUAACGCGUAUGCAACCUACCUAUCACUGGGGGAUAGCCCGGGGAAACCCGGAUUAAUACCGCAUAACACAGGGGUCCCGCAUGGGUACUAUUUGUUAAAGAUUUAUCGGUGGUAGAUGGGCAUGCGUUCGAUUAGCUAGUUGGCGGGGUAACGGCCCACCAAGGCGACGACCGAUAGGGGAGCGGAGAGGUUGAUCCCCCACACGGGCACUGAGAUACGGGCCCGACUCCUACGGGAGGCAGCAGUAGGGAAUGUUGGGCAAUGGAUGGAAGUCUGACCCAGCCAUGCCGCGUGCCGGACGAAGGCCCUCAGGGUUGUAAACGGCUUUUAUUCGGGAAGAAGAGCAGGGAUGCGUCCUUGUGUGACGGUACCGAAUGAAUAAGCACCGGCUAACUCCGUGCCAGCCGCCGCCGUAAAAC
rnacentral:rRNA from 1 species